UUCAUCUUUGUUUGUAGGAUCUAUGGAAGAAGUUCACGACUCGGACUCGACGAGAAAGGUUUGUGCUUCAUCUUUUUUUUUGAUGGCAAAAUAACUUCUCUUUAUGAAACAAUCAGUACUUCAUAUAUCUAUUAUAACAGAGUAAGUCAACAAAAGCCCUUUUAUUUGAAUGAACAAGAAUCCGUUGUGUGCUGCUGAGCUAUGUGCCCCUUUUCCAAAUGUUAUAAAUGUUAUCUUAACUUAGUUGUCACAUAGAAGUUGGUUUGGGCUACUGGGCUCAUUUGAUGUUUGCAUGACUUAUUUGAACCCGAUGCCAGCCUCACCGGCAUCCUGAGGCGACAGAGCGACGGCCGCGCUCGACACCCUCUUUCGCAACUCGACGACAGCCUAGCGUCAUAGGCGGCUCAUACGGUGGUCUAGAAGAUGGCGACCCAUUUGGGUGGGCGACAACGACCGCAGCUGGUGCACGCGCUCACACUCAACCCGUCCAUACUCAACUCUUCCUCUCGGUAUGAGCCCCUUGCAUCCUGUUUGAAGUUUUCUCUUUUCCCCCUUCUCCGUUUGUUUGACCUGGUUCUGCUCGGGUGGAUGCAGGGUGCGGACUGAGAAUUGGAUGCUCUGUGCCAGCAUAUGGAAGUGUUGUGACCACUGUUGUUCCGGAUGUGAGGUAUAAUGCUAAUUGGACUUGUGAAUUUAUCGUGUCUUGGAAUGGAUUGCCGAAAUGUUGGGGUUUUCUCAGUAUGUAGUUUCUUUUACUUAUAUUUUAUUCUUAUAAUUCAGUGGUCCUUGAUUGCAACCUGGUGUCAUCCUGUUCCUACUCACAGGUUACAGUAGUGCACGAGCUGACAAGGAAGAAAUCUUGGUUUCAAAGUUCUCUCUGUACGUGGCUAGCUGAGUCGGGUCUACUUAACUUUGCUAUCUGAAAGAUAUAGCUAUUUUAUUUUCCCAUUCAAUUAGGCAAUCUUUUGAGGAGGUUAAAAUGAGUUAUAUUUUGGGCAGGCUUGAUGGCUAUUUGUAUGUUGGGCCAUGUUAGUGGUGUUCUUUAUUUGUUCAUGGGUCAGAUUGUUUGUUUGGUCUUAUGGUUUAGACGUUUGUCCUGACAGUUUUGGUAUGUUUAUAUAGUACUUUUGGAAUGCGAUAUGAUUCUUUUUGGGUUUUUUAGUUCACGCAUUCAUUCUAAGAAUCUUGAUAUCCGGCUGUGUUGUUGUAGAUUUGUAAGUUUUUUGCUUGGGAGCCAUCUAUUUAGCCAUGUUGGAGUAGGCUAUAUGAUUUUUUCAGUUUUGACCACGUAUGCUUCUUCCUUGGUCUGUUCACCAAGGUUUGCUCCCUUCCUUUCUCACUUUCAUGCAUUAGCUUUGUUUCAUUAUACUCUUAUGAUGCUCUGCGUCUGUGAUGAUCCACCACCAACUGAGGUAUAUAAAUAAGCUGUGUUUCCUACAUUUGUGCUGAUCCACACAACUUGCUGAUCUCCAACUUAUUUCUUUUCUGACCAUCUGCAUUUGUGCAUGUAGUCAUGGACACCGACUCAAAAAAUGAACAAGGUUACCCCUUCAGCUGCAGGUGCAGGGUACUAUGUCUGGACUUGCCUUUUUUAUUUCAAUUCGUCUUGCUUUUUUGUACUAAAUCUUUGAUUCAUGCUUUUUCUCUCUUCAAUAGUAAAUCAUCUUGCAAUACCCAUGGUGCCACACGUGUUUUAUUCACCAAUCCUGUCAAGAGAAAUCAAAAUCAAGACGCCAAUCAGCUUAGCCUUGGGCUGCUCCUUUUCUGCCUUUUGUUUCCUGUAUACACUCAUCUUUCUUUGAUGGACCUGAAUUUCUUUUUGUUGUGUUAGGUUGACGGUGACACUGCAGAUGUAGCUUCUCUGACCGCUACCGAAGACACCGCUGAACAGCUUAAUCAGACAAAGACAAAGUGCUGUUAUGUAGGCAUGGUUUAAAAACUAGAGCCUUUGGCUGGUCAAGUACCCUUGCCAAAGCGUUCGUGUAAUCUCUUCAAGUUGUAUGAAGCAAAUUCUAUGUAUGUAACACCCAGGAAGAAUAUUAUAAUAAUUAUAUAGAAGCAGAGAAUCAACCUUGCUAGAGCGUUUGUCAAAUAUCUACUCGAGUAGCCUUGCCAAACUUUAUCUGCUGUGUUCUUCACAUGUUGUUUCAGUACAUUCUCUAGCGUAAAAUUUCCUUUUCAGUCAAGCAAAGUUUUCUUUGCG
rnacentral:lncRNA from 1 species